GACGAACGCUGGCGGCGUGCUUAACACAUGCAAGUCGAGCGGUAAGGCCCUUUCGGGGGUACACGAGCGGCGAACGGGUGAGUAACACGUGGGUGACCUGCCCUUAGCUCUGGGAUAAGCCUGGGAAACUGGGUCUAAUACCGGAUAUGACUCCAUGACGCAUGUUGUGGGGUGGAAAGCCUUGUGCGGCUAGGGAUGGGCCUGCGACCUAUCAGCUUGUUGGUGGGGUGAUGGCCUACCAAGGCGACGACGGGUAGCCGGCCUGAGAGGGCGACCGGCCACACUGGGACUGAGACACGGCCCAGACUCCUACGGGAGGCAGCAGUGGGGAAUCUUGCGCAAUGGGCGAAAGCCUGACGCAGCGACGCCGCGUGGGGAUGACGGCCUCGG
rnacentral:rRNA from 1 species